rnacentral:tRNA from 1 species
UCCCUUGUAGCUCAGAUGGUAAAGUGUCUGCCUGUAAAGUGGAAGACCCAGAUUCAAUCCCUGGGUCGGGAA